rnacentral:lncRNA from 10 species
AUUGCUGGCUGCUCAUCCAACGGCCACCGCGCCAAAUGCCUUACAGACCCGGUGGCCCUGGAAUCGAUUCUGUAACACUACUCCUUGUGUGACCGUGGACAAGUCACUCGGUCUCUGAGCCUUCUUCAUCUGUAAAUAAGAGAGCGAGGCUAGAGAAGCCCAGAGCCAGAGUUUAGAAACCGAGUGCGAGGACACCUGCCCUCUUGGUGUGCACUGUGGAGCGCUGAGAAACGGCUCCA